AGCGAACGCUGGCGGCAGGCCUAACACAUGCAAGUCGAACGAACUCUUCGGAGUUAGUGGCGGACGGGUGAGUAACCCGUGGGAACGUGCCUUUUGGUUCGGCAUAACUCAGGGAAACUUGUGCUAAUACCGAAUGUGCCCUUCGGGGGAACGAUUUAUCGCCAUUAGAGCGGCCCGCGUCUGAUUAGCUAGUUGGUGAGGUAACGGCUCACCAAGGCGACGAUCAGUAGCUGGUCUGAGAGGAUGACCAGCCACACUGGGACUGAGACACGGCCCAGACUCCUACGGGAGGCAGCAGUGGGGAAUCUUGCGCAAUGGGCGAAAGCCUGACGCAGCCAUGCCGCGUGAAUGAUGAAGGUCUUAGGAUUGUAAAAUUCUUUCACCGGGGACGAUAAUGACGGUACCCGGAGAAGAAGCCCCGGCUAACUUCGUG
rnacentral:rRNA from 1 species